GUGAAUCAUCAAAUCUUUGAACGCAUAUUGCACUUUCUGGUAUUCCGGAGAGUAUGCCUGUUUGAGGGUCAGUUAAAUAAAAAAAGGUGUUGUUGUUUUUUGUAGCGAUGUUGCAUCGGAAUUGAGUUGUGUUUAGCUUUUUUGGUUAGGGUGUUUUAAUAUUAUGUAUGAUUUUUUGAAAGUAUUUAAAUUGUUUACGUAUGUUCAUAAUGUCAUAUAUAUUAGUUGCGAUCAUCCUGAUGAUGUCGCGUCUAUAA
rnacentral:misc_RNA from 1 species